AUCUAGGCACACUAAUCGAAAGGUUAGGUCGCAAAGCUUUGGAGUCUAAUGGUUCUGAUCAGAAUACCUGAUCCGGCUAAUGACAGUCCGGCUGC
rnacentral:ncRNA from 1 species